GGGGGGCAUCAUGUGACAGGACUAACUGUCUGUCUGUCUGCAGGACGACCGAGAUAAGAUCGCCACACAUGAGGAAACACUGGUGACCACUUUGAAGGAUGAUCUCAGUUGGUGGACUAACUGGUUGAUCCCCCUGUUGGCGGCGGCCAUCGUCACGCUGAUGUACCGCAUCUACACCACAGACAGCGAGUGACAUCAUCAGACACGCAGCUGUGAUGUCAUCAAUAGAAAGCUGCAUAAGCCAAUGGCAGCGGAGUCACCAACCACCAUCAGAUCAGUGGAUUAAAAAAACACAUCUGUCCUAAAGUCACUGGCUCCCAGUACUACACUACCCAGGAUGCAUUUCAUGCUGUUAAAACCAACCAAUUACAUGGAAUUAUGCUAAUGAAGUCAUUUACGUUCUUGACACUUUAACUACGGAUGUUUUGUAGAAAUCAUGUAGAAAUGCAAUGAAUGUAUAAUUUGUAUCUUUUUAUAUAUUUGUAACCGAAUGUAAAUGAGCUCAUGAAUAUGCAAUCAGCAGCUAACGGAGUCAUGUGACCGUGCAGACUCGUGCAGAAUAUAACGUGUGUUUAUAUAUAUAUAUAUAUAUAUAAAAAAUAAAUAAAUAACACGAUUACAUCUUGAAGAAGAUGUCUGUAACAAAGAUCUCUUGUGAUGAAUCUAAAGGUGCUUUCUGGAUUCACACUUUGAAAUUUUAUAGAAAAUCUCCAAAUUACUGCUUUUCAUAGUUGUUUUAAGCUUUGAUUAGUUUGAGGCUCAACUUUCUCGAACUCUCGUCAGUUUAUUUUUCCUUCCUUUUGAUAACGACGACCUGAAACUGAUCACUUCUCUUGCAACUAGUGAAGUUGAUGUUAUGAUUAUGAAUACAAUAUAAACUAAAUCAAACGAUGCAGGCGUGUGUGAUAUGAAAUGCACAAUGAUUGUUGAUGAAGUUCACUGAAUAUUUCCAUCUUCACACUGAAACAAAAGGAACAGAUUUCUCUUUGUUCUCCAGGUUUGAUGUUUGUCCUUUGAUCAGAUGAAAUCUCUUCAUGUUUCUCAGUGAUGAAGACAAACAGCUGGUUCAACAAUCAUCAUCAGUCUGAUUGCUUCAUUGUAAAUUACAUUUUGGGAAAACUGCACCAACAUGAUCUUCACAUGAUGCAGAGCGUCCACGUGUCGGAGUUAAAGCCGCACAUUUAUAUGAAAAAUCAGUAAAUCACCGCAAGCAGAAGCGGUUCUAUAGAACAAGAGAACUUCACAAUCUGAGAGGUUUCUCUUUUGUGCACAGUUCACCUUUUAGCUAAAUGUUUGAAAGCAUUAAAGACUUUAAAUGCACAGAAGGAACCUUUGGUCUGGAUCCUCACCAUGAGAACAGAAUGAAUUCAGCUGCAGGAUUAUUAUAAAAAGUCUUCGUUUGGGAACUCAAGUCUGAAUAAAAAGGACUCGGAACCGGUUUGA